UCUGGCCUCUUUGGGGUCCGAGUUGUAAUUUGUAGAGGAUGUUUCGGGUACCGCCUCGGUUUAAAUUUCUUGGAACAGAAUGUCAGAGAGGGUGAGAAUCCCGUCUUGGACCGGCGGUAGGGCCCAUGUGAAACUCCUUCGACGAGUCGAGUUGUUUGGGAAUGCAGCUCAAAAUGGGUGGUAAAUUUCAUCUAAAGCUAAAUAUUGGCCAGAGACCGAUAGCGCACAAGUAGAGUGAUCGAAAGAUGAAAAGCACUUUGAAAAGAGAGUUAAACAGUAUGUGAAAUUGUUGAAAGGGAAGCGCUUACAACCAGACUUGCGCGCGGCGGUUCCCCCUUCCUUUUGGUUGGGCUACUCCGUCGUGUCCAGGCCAACAUCGGUUCUGGGGGUCGGUUAAAGACCUUGGGAAUGUACCUACCCUUCGGGCGUAGACUUAUAGCCCAGGGUGUCAUGCGACCUCCCGGGACCGAGGAACGCGCUUCGGCUCGGAUGUUGGCGUAAUGGUUGUCAGCGACCCGUCUUGAAACACGGACCAAGGAGUCUAACAUCUAUGCGAGUGUUUGGGUGUCAAACCCGGAACGCGAAAUGAAAGUGAACGGAGGUAGGAAGCCGCAAGGCUGCACUAUCGACCGAUCCUGAUGUCUUCGGAUGGAUUUGAGUAAGAGCAUAGCUGUUGGGACCCGAAAGAUGGUGAACUAUGCCUGGAUAGGGUGAAGCCAGAGGAAACUCUGGUGGAGGCUCGCAGCGGUUCUGACGUGCAAAUCGAUCGUCAAAUCUGGGUAUAGGGGCGAAAGACUAAUCGAACCAUCUGGUAGCUGGUUCCUGCCGAAGUUUCCCUCAGGAUAGCAGUAACGUUUUCAGUUUUAUGAGGUAAAGCGAAUGAUUAGAGGCCUUGGGGUUGAAACAACCUUAACCUAUUCUCAAACUUUAAAUAUGUAAGAAGUCCUUGUUGCUUAAUUGAACGUGGACAUUUGAAUGUAUCGUUACUAGUGGGCCAUUUUUGGUAAGCAGAACUGGCGAUGCGGGAUGAACCGAACGUGAGGUUAAGGUGCCGGAAUGUACGCUCAUCAGACACCACAAAAGGUGUCAAUGCAUCCAGACAGCCGGACGGUGGCCAUGGAAGUCGGAAUCCGCUUAGGAGUGUGUAACAACUCACCGGCCGAAUGCAUUGGCCCUGAAAAUGGAUGGCGCUUAAGCGUGCUACCUAUACCUCGCCGUCAGGGUUGACAUGAUGCCCUGACGAGUAGGCAGGCGUGGAGGUCCGUGACGAAGCCUUGGG
rnacentral:rRNA from 1 species